UAGUCGCCAGUCAACGUCAUUCCGCACGAUGCCUUUCUCCACCUUGUGCUUUCAUAUAUUGAUUAUCUCCCUUAGAUCGAUGCUGCUGGCAACCCCCCAGGCCCCGGCGACAAAAUCCCCUGCGACUACAUCAUCAACAAAGAAUGUUUCUCCUGGGGAGGCGGCUCCGGCACCACCAUUCUCCUUGACGACAGCAACAACGAGAAGGCUUCUCUGAAAUCAACAAUCGCCGGACUGAAGUAAACGACCAACUGCACUGAACGCGCAACAUGCUAGCUUAAAUCACAAUAAUUGUUAAAUAUUUUGUUGAGGUUAUGAAUUCCAUUUGUUAAUUGCCAAGGUGCCUUUUAUGGUUUUCAAUGUCAAUACGGACGGGGUUGAUCUGUUGACCGGAAGUGACGUCACUUCGUUACACGUCAUUAAUCGGCCCUAUUGUUGAGGCAACACACAACGAUCAAUCCGUCUAAUACUGGAACAGUAAAAAAUAUUCAUAUAGCGAUAAUAUAGGCACAAAAAGUAUUGUUAUGUCAAUGCACGCGUGUUUGGUCUCGUUUUGAGUCAUGACAAACAAUAAGUGUUUGACAUGUUGUCAUGACGCACUACCUGCUUCGCUUUCUGAAACUAGUAGAUAUUUUCAUAUUGUUAUAAUUCUAUGUUUUCUAAACUGUACGUAGCCACAUGGUGCUCUAUAUUUUAGGGUCUCAUAUAAUACAUUAUGACCUUUUUGAAAUAAAGAAUUC